GUGCUUGCUUUGGCAGCACGUAUACUAAAUUGGAACAAUACAGUGAAGAUUAGCAUGGUCGCAAUGCAAGGAUGACAUGCAGAUUUGUGAAGUGUUCCAUAUUUUU